UGGAAAGGGGCCACUACGUGUGCGUCGAACAACUUUUUGUACAGCUCCCUAUACGUCACUGGUAUAGAAGUGAACUGGAACCUCUCUGUGUUCUGCCUUGUGUUAGGCUCUCGCCUUGGUGUGGCCUGCUGGCUAGUGACUAUCGUUCCCGAUUGAUUAACAGUGACAGGUUUUGAAUAGCCUGAGUUCACGUUGCUUACCUCGUUUUCCUUUUUCUUCGGGGCUGACCUUCUCGUGCUUUCCC
rnacentral:lncRNA from 1 species